rnacentral:rRNA from 1 species
AUUGAACGCUGGCGGCAUGCCUUACACAUGCAAGUCGAACGGUAACAGGACUUCGGAUGCUGACGAGUGGCGAACGGGUGAGUAAUACAUCGGAACGUGCCCAGACGUGGGGGAUAACGAGGCGAAAGCUUUGCCAAUACCGCAUACGAUCUAAGGAUGACAGCAGGGGACCGCAAGGCCUCGCGCGUUUGGAGCGGCAGAUGGCAGAUUAGGUAGUUGGUGGGAUAAAAGCCUACCAAGCCGACGAUCUGUAGCUGGUCUGAGAGGACGACCAGCCACACUGGGACUGAGACACGGCCCAGACUCCUACGGGAGGCAGCAGUGGGGAAUUUUGGACAAUGGGCGAAAGCCUGAUCCAGCAAUGCCGCGUGCAGGAUGAAGGCCUUCGGGUUGUAAACUGCUUUUGUACGGAACGAAAAGGCUCUGGCUAAUACCUGGGGCACAUGACGGUACCGUAAGAAUAAGCACCGGCUAACUACGUGCCAGCCGCCGCCGUAA